GGUCAACAUGUAUGGAUGCUC
rnacentral:siRNA from 1 species